rnacentral:misc_RNA from 1 species
ACACACACACACACACACAAAAGGGGGGGAAAAGUUACAAAUGGAUCUAUCACAGUUAACCAUGUCAUAAAUACAUUAAUUCUGCAUGGCCACGUAAUCCGUGACACACAUGAUUAUCUUAUCAAAAUUGUCACAUUAUUAUAAUACAAACAUGAUUAAGGCACGAACUCUUAAACAUCAUGUUCCAUUUCAAUUGUUUAAUCGGAUUCAAUAUAAUCAUCUCCACCUGCAAGUUUACCAUGCAUUUGUCUUACUUAUUUUGGGCCACGCAUGUACAUUUAGGAACAAG